AUUGAACGCUGGCGGCAGGCCUAACACAUGCAAGUCGAACGGCAGCACAGAAGAGCUUGCUCUUUGGGUGGCGAGUGGCGGACGGGUGAGUAAUGUCUGGGAAACUGCCCGAUGGAGGGGGAUAACUACUGGAAACGGUAGCUAAUACCGCAUAACGUCGCAAGACCAAAGUGGGGGACCUUCGGGCCUCACACCAUCGGAUGUGCCCAGAUGGGAUUAGCUAGUAGGUGGGGUAAUGGCUCACCUAGGCGACGAUCCCUAGCUGGUCUGAGAGGAUGACCAGCCACACUGGAACUGAGACACGGUCCAGACUCCUACGGGAGGCAGCAGUGGGGAAUAUUGCACAAUGGGCGCAAGCCUGAUGCAGCCAUGCCGCGUGUAUGAAGAAGGCCUUCGGGUUGUAAAGUACUUUCAGCGGGGAGGAAGGCGGUGAGGUUAAUAACCUCGCCGAUUGACGUUACCCGCAGAAGAAGCACCGGCUAACUCCGUGCCAGCCGCCGCCGUAA
rnacentral:rRNA from 1 species